AAUUCGUGGUGUGGACAUAUGUUCAUUAAAUCCUUAAAUCUCUCCUAGCUAGCCUAGAAUGUCUCAUCACCUUUUUGCAUGAACUUACUGAUCUGCUCUUGUAGGU